GCAGGAGGCAUGAGGUGGACAGGCCGGUUCUGGAGGGACAGAGCCCGGUCGGGAUUCUGGAGCAACGCGGGAAGCCACGGCAGGGUUUCACACCGGGAAACAAUGCAAUCGGAUUGGAAAGUGUAAAAUCAGUCUGUGAUUCAGGACACCCAGUCCAAUGGGAUCAGGGCCUGCUCUGGUGACUUCAUCUUAUCAGCAUCUGGAAAGUGCCGUGUCCAGCCAGCGCUGAGAACAACUGUUAGAGGAGCCACAGGCCUCCGUGGAGACGAGACGUCUUGCCACCCCUCUUGGCCCAGAGGUGGAAAACUGCCUCCAGCCUUUCGAGUCUCCUACCACGGGAAGAGCAAAGCCACGGUCCCGCCUCCCCGAGAGGCUGAGAACAACCUAAAUCACAGGCACACCCUCUAGCACAGCGCUCAGGGCGCCGGAAACAGGGCACAACUUCAGCUCCGGGAGCUGGGUGGGUGCAGGUCCCAGCCCAGCGGGAGCUAUUCUCCUCCUUCCCUUCUCCCUUCUCCCCGCCCCAGCCCCACGCCAGCAGGCCUUUGUUCUGGAGGGGGAAGUGGGGGCUUUCAAACCGAGGGUUGCCAAAUCAAUUCAGUGCAAAACAAUUAGCAAUUUUUAAAGUAACAAAAAUGUAGAAUUGAGAUUGUUAGAGCACAAUACGAAAUAAAA